AGUCAAUUGUCUAUUAUACUGGCACCAGAUCUAGGGAGAUAUCAUAAGAGCAAAGAAGAAAGGGAGAGAGGACCCAAAGGAAUGAAAAGGAAAAUGUUUUGAAUAGGGGGUUAAAGACAGAUGAGAGAACGAGGGGAAUCUUGAAAACCAAGCCAAAAAUAAUGAGGAGCCAGGAUUUUGCCUGACUGAGAGCUGAUUUGGUGUAACCGAUAUGUACACAAAAGCGGGAUGUAUGGAUGACCUAAUGUUUGGUUAGUACAUAGCUUAACAAAAUCAAAUCAGGAUCCA